AAUCAAUGGGGGGGUGGGGGGGGGGAGACGCUCCAGGCCAACAACCUGCAUGAAACCGAACGUAUAUGCAUUAUUAUCACGGUUUACUCCUUGGAUGUCUAUGCCAGUAAGAACACACGCACGCACGCACAUCAGAUACAAGCAUUAAAUGUAACUUGGGUACUUGCCCCAGGGCCUGCAUCGUAAAUCCAGCCUUUUGUCUUUGUUCUAAAAGACGGUGAAGACGCUGAGGGCUGCGUUACGAUGCAAAUGAUGUCAUGGGAAGUCGUAAGUCGACCGGCAGAGACGCUAACUCUUUCGAGAUGUAGAUCAGUUGAUUUUAAGUCUGCACUUGUUAUUAGUUAAAAAAAAAAACAAAGCAUACAUUUGUCACAAGAAUGCCUCAUAAAAGCUACCAACAGAAACGCAGUUGAAAGCGUUCACGGCAAUUAUACACGCCAUGGUGUUUCCGAUUUUGCAUCGGAACUUGGGACUGCAAUGCUCUGAGGGCGUCUUAUCGUGGAUAUAAUUCUGCACACCCCAGAUAAAAUGUCGGAUUUCGGCGAUCCAAAACACUGUAGACCAAAAUAAACCAUUUCAAAACGUUAACAUUCACGUGACCUAUUCCCUGUACAGAUGACUCGAAAUCUCUUCCAGGGGGGUAAAAUAAAAAGCUGAGAUGAUCCCAAUGAACCCCAAAUCAAGAUGAAGCUGUUCUAGUUGCCUUUUCUUGACAUUUUUAGUCACAUGUUAUAGAGCGGGGUUGCCCAAGUACGAUCCUCGACAUGUUCCCCUCCUCCAACACACUUGAUUAAAGUAAUCAGGUUCAUGAUCAGGCUUCUGAUGAUUUGAAUCAGGUGUGUUGGAGGAGGGAAACCUCGAAAACAAACAGGAUAGGGACUCUCGAGGACCGGACUUGGGCACCCCUGUUCAAGUCCAAAUCAUUGUCCACAGAGAGUUUGGACAGAAUUAGAGGGACGGCAUUGUUCAAAGAUAACGGUAAGGAGAAGAAUACAAAUUUUCAGGUCAUUAAAAUGCACCACGGACUCAAGUUAGAUCACUCGAUCUUGAUGACAAGAAGGAAAUGAGAUUUGUACUACUUGCGGGUCAGGGCGUGCGCAUUGUGACCGAGUGAACAUGGUGACCUUUUGUCAAGCACCGAUCGCUAAGACAGAUGCCCCUUUUCUCUCCGUUCUUUAAGCGGGAUCGCCCUGCCCCACCUCCAAGUUCUGCGUGACCAGCAAGCGUAUUGGAUUGUCCACGCGGAUGAUUCAAAGUACGGCUUUGAAAAAGGGUCAAACCAACAAAAACGAACCAAUUGGUAGAUAAUAACAACAAUCAAUCAAUACA